rnacentral:tRNA from 1 species
UCAAGUCCUGCACCUCCUG